AGAGUUUGAUUCUGGCUCAGGACGAACGCUGGCGGCGUGCUUCAUACAUGCAAGUCGAACGAUAAGGUUCCUUCGGGAAUACAUAAGUGGCGGACGGGUGAGUAAUAUGUAGAGAAUCUGCCCUUAGGCGGGGGACAACAGAGGGAAACUUCUGCUAAUACCCCAUAUGAGCGUAACUGAAAUGUUAUUCUUGAAAGCUCCGGCGCCUAGAGAUGAGUCUGCAUCUGAUUAGCUAGUUGGGGUGUAAUGGACCACCAAGGCGACGAUCAGUAGCUGGUUUGAGAGGAUGAUCAGCCACAAUGGGACUGAGACACGGCCCAUACUCCUACGGGAGGCAGCAGUAGGGAAUUUUGCGCAAUGGGCGAAAGCCUGAACCGCAGCAACGCCGCGUGAUCGAGAACGCCCGUUCGGGGUGUAAAGAUCUGUCAGUAGGGAACGAAAAAUGACUGUACCUACAGAGGAAGCACCGGCUAACUCCGUGCCAGCCGCAGC
rnacentral:rRNA from 1 species